rnacentral:rRNA from 1 species
GAUGAACGCUGGCGGCAUGCCUAACACAUGCAAGUCGAACGGACUCUUAUAUUAGAAAAUCUCUACAUGCUUAGAGGUUCCCUAAUAUCAGAGUUAGUGGCGGACGGGUGAGUAACACGUUAGUACCUGCUCUUCAGUGGGGAAUAACUCGGCGAAAGUCGAGCUAAUACCGCAUAGGCUCGUUUACGAGUAAAGACUUCGGUCGCUGAAGGAGGGGCUUGCGUCUGAUUAGCUAGUUGGUGGGGUAAAGGCCCACCAAGGCGACGAUCAGUAGCUGGUUCGAGAGGAUGACCAGCCACACUGGGACUGAGAUACGGCCCAGACUCCUACGGGAGGCAGCAGUGAGGAAUAUUGGACAAUGGGGGCAACCCUGAUCCAGCCAUGCCGCGUGAGUGAUGAAGGCCCUAGGGUUGUAAAGCUCUUUUGUGCGGGAAGAUAAUGACGGUACCGCAAGAAUAAGCCCCGGCUAACUUCGUGCCAGCAGCCGCGGU